rnacentral:rRNA from 1 species
UAAUUGAAGAGUUUGAUCAUGGCUCAGAUUGAACGCUGGCGGCAGGCCUAACACAUGCAAGUCGAGCGGUAACAGGGGAAGCUUGCUUCUCGCUGACGAGCGGCGGACGGGUGAGUAAUGUAUGGGGAUCUGCCCGAUAGAGGGGGAUAACUACUGGAAACGGUAGCUAAUACCGCAUAAUCUCUCAGGAGCAAAGCAGGGGAACUUCGGUCCUUGCGCUAUCGGAUGAACCCAUAUGGGAUUAGCUAGUUGGUGAGGUAAUGGCUC